GCCGUAGCUCAGGGGUAGAGCAUGUGCUCUGCAUGCAGAAGGUCACAGGUUCAAUCUCCAGUGCAGGCAUAGGCA